CCUACGGGAGGCAGCAGUGGGGAAUAUUGCGCAAUGGAGGAAACUCUGACGCAGCAACGCCGCGUGGGUGAAGAAGGUCUUCGGAUUGUAAAGCCCUGUCGGGAGGGAAGAAAAGCACAUGGUGAAUGUGUCUGACGGUACCUUCGAAGGAAGCACUGGCUAACUCCGUGCCAGCAGCCGCGGUAAUACGGAGAGUGCAAACGUUGUUCGGAAUUAUUGGGCGUAAAGGGCGCGUAGGCGGCUUGGUAAGUCAGAUGUGAAAGCCCUGGGCUCAACCCGGGAAGUGCGUUUGAAACUGCUAAGCUUGAGUGCAGGAGGGAGAGGUGGAAUUCCAGGUGUAGGAGUGAAAUCCGUAGAUAUCUGGAGGAACACCGGUGGCGAAGGCGACCUCUUGGCCUGAAACUGACGCUGAGGCGCGAAGGCGUGGGUAGCAAACAGGAUUAGAUACCCUGGUAGUCCACGCGGUAAACGAUGCUCACGUGGGUGCGUGGUGGCGAGACGCGUGUCGUAGUGUCCGUACGCGUAACGACGAGUAAGUAGAGGCCGGCCCGUCGGGGUAGGGUACGGGUCGGCGAAGAAGUUAAAACGUAACGAAAGGAAAGUUAGUACGGCGUGAGACGUGACCGAACGGACGACGACGAGGGAGGAGG
rnacentral:rRNA from 1 species